rnacentral:rRNA from 1 species
CGCUGGCGGCGUGCCUAACACAUGCAAGUCGAGCGGGGACAUGCGACGGAGACAAAGUUUUCGGAUGGAGUCGAAGAUGCAUUGUUCUAGCGGCGGACGGGUGAGUAACGCGUGAGCAACCUGUCCCUUACAGGGGGAUAACACAGCGAAAGUUGUACUAAUACCGCAUGAGACCACGGUGAGACAUCUCACAGGGGUCAAAGGAGCAAUCCGGUAAGGGGUGGGCUCGCGUCCGAUUAGAUAGUUGGUGAGGUAACGGCCCACCAAGUCGACGAUCGGUAGCCGACCUGAGAGGGUGAUCGGCCACAUUGGGACUGAGACACGGCCCAAACUCCUACGGGAGGCAGCAGUGGGGAAUAUUGGGCAAUGGGGGGAACCCUGACCCAGCAACGCCGCGUGAGGGAAGAAGGUUUUCGGAUCGUAAACCUCUGUCCUUGGUGAAGAGGAAGAGACGGUAGCCAAGGAGGAAGCCCCGGCUAACUACGUGCCAGCAGCCGCGGUAAUACGUAGGGGGCGAGCGUNGUCCGGAAUGAUUGGGCGUAAAGGGCGCG